AUAAAUACCCUAUAGAAGAAACUCAAAACUGCUUGAAUAGUAAAGAACGUGGGCAAUUAUAAUAACUAGAGAAGGAACAAAUAUGAAAGUUCUAUUGAUAUAGAGAGACUGAGAGAGAGACGAACUGUUCCUGUGGAGGACGUCGAAGAGAGAGAGAGACGGAGAGAACGAUGAUUACCAUAAUUUAGGUUUAGGGUUUCCAAAAAAAAA
rnacentral:sRNA from 1 species